rnacentral:rRNA from 1 species
UACGUAGGGGGCAAGCGUUGUCCGGAAUUAUUGGGCGUAAAGAGCGCGUAGGCGGUCCGGUAAGUCGGUUGUGAAAGUCGGGGGCUCAACCCUCGGAUGCCGAUCGAUACUGUCGGGCUAGAGUCCGGAAGAGGCGAGUGGAAUUCCCGGUGUAGCGGUGAAAUGCGCAGAUAUCGGGAGGAACACCAAUGGCGAAGGCAGCUCGCUGGGACGGUACUGACGCUGAGACGCGAAAAGCGUGGGGAGCAAACAGG